CCUACGGGUGGCAGCAGUGAGGAAUAUUGGUCAAUGGCCGGGAGGCUGAACCAGCCAAGUCGCGUGAGGGAAGACUGCCCUACGGGUUGUAAACCUCUUUUGUCAGGGAACAAAGUGCGGGACUGGUCCCGUGUUGAGUGUACCUGAAGAAAAAGCAUCGGCUAACUCCGUGCCAGCAGCCGCGGUAAUACGGAGGAUGCGAGCGUUAUCCGGAUUUAUUGGGUUUAAAGGGUGCGCAGGCGGCUUUUUAAGUCAGCGGUAAAAUCGCGGGGCCAAACCCAGCAUAGCCGUUGAUACUGGCUGCCUUGAGUGCGCGAGAGGUAGGCGGAAUGCGUGGUGUAGCGGUGAAAUGCUUAGAUAUCACGAAGAACUCCGAUUGCGAAGGCAGCGUACCGGCGCGAAACUGACGCUGAUGCACGAAAGCGUGGGUAUCGAACAGGAUUAGAUACCCGUGUAGUC
rnacentral:rRNA from 1 species